UACGUAGGGAGCAAGCGUUGUCCGGAAUCAUUGGGCGUAAAGCGCGCGUAGGUGGCUUCGUAAGUCCGUUGUGAAAGUCAAAGGCUCAACCUUUGAAAGCCGAUGGAUACUGUGGAGCUAGAGUACGGAAGAGGCGAGUGGAAUUCCUGGUGUAGCGGUGGAAUGCGCAGAAUAUCAGGAGGAACACCAAUAGCGAAGGCAGCUCGCUGGGACGUACUGACACUGAGGCGCGAAAGCGUGGGGAGCGAACGGAUAG
rnacentral:rRNA from 1 species